CCCUUAGAUGUUCUGGGCCGCACGCGUGCUACACUGAGUGGAUCAGCGGGUCAGGUUGCGCGAAAGCGUUUCCUAAUCUUUAAAUCCGCUCGUGAUGGGGAUUGACGGUUGCAAUUGUCGAUCUUGAACGAGGAAUUCCUAGUAAGCGCGAGUCAUCAGCUCGCGCUGAUUACGUCCCUGCCCUUUGUACACACCGCCCGUCGCUACUACAGAGUGCCCGUGUCCAAGAAACGGUCGGACCUGUGCGGCCUCUCCGGGCGACCGGAGGGCCGUUACGGGGAAGACCCUUUAUUUGACGCGGGUCGAUGAAGUAAAAGUCGUAACA
rnacentral:rRNA from 1 species